rnacentral:rRNA from 1 species
GCGUGAGUGAAGAAGGCCUUAGGGUUGUAAAACUCUUUCAGUGGUGACGAUGAUGACGGUAACCACAGAAGAAGCCCCGGCUAACUCCGUGCCAGCAGCCGCGGUAAUACGGAGGGGGCUAGCGUUGUUCGGAAUUACUGGGCGUAAAGCGCACGUAGGCGGUUUAUCUAGUUAGGCGUGAAAGCCCCGGGCUCAACCCGGGAACUGCGUUUAAUACUGGUAAACUAGAGACCGAGAGAGGAUGGCGGAAUUCCCAGUGUAGAGGUGAAAUUCGU